rnacentral:rRNA from 1 species
CUACGGGCCGCUCCAGUAAGGAAUAUUGCGCAAUGGAGGCAACUCUGACGCAGCCAUGCCGCGUGCAGGAAGAAGGCCUUAUGGGUCGUAAACUGCUUUUAUUUAGGAAUAAACCCCCGAACGUGUUCGGGGCUGAAGGUACUAAACGAAUAAGCACCGGCUAACUCCGGGCCAGCAGCCGCGGUAAUACGGAGGGUGCAAGCGUUAUCCGGAUUUAUUGGGUUUAAAGGGUGCGCAGGCGGGCUAUUAAGUCAGUGGCGAAAUCCCGGGGCCCAACUCCGGAACUGCCAUUGAUACUGAUAGUCUUGAGUUUGGUUGAAGUGGGCGGAAUGUAGCAUGUAGCGGUGAAAUGCAUAGAUAUGCUACAGAACACCAAUCGCGAAGGCAGCUCACUAAGCCAAAACUGACGCUCACGCACGAAAGCGUGGGGAUCAAACAGGAUUAGAUACCCUCGUAGUC